rnacentral:rRNA from 1 species
GACGAACGCUGGCGGCGUGCUUAACACAUGCAAGUCGAACGGAAAGGCCCUGCUUGCAGGGUGCUCGAGUAGCGAACGGGUGAGUAACACGUGGGUGAUCUGCCCCUUACUUUGGGAUAAGCCUGGGAAACUGGGUCUAAUACUGGAUAGGACCAUGCUGUAGGUGGUGUGGUGGAAAGAUUAGUUUCGGUAAGGGAUGAGCUCGCGGCCUAUCAGCUUGUUGGUGGGGUAAUGGCCUACCAAGGCGUCGACGGGUAGCCGGCCUGAGAGGGUGGACGGCCACAUUGGGACUGAGAUACGGCCCAGACUCCUACGGGAGGCAGCAGUGGGGAAUAUUGCACAAUGGGCGCAAGCCUGAUGCAGCGACGCCGCGUGGGGGAUGACGGCCUUCGGGUUGUAAACUCCUUUCAGCCAUGACGAAGCCCUUGUGGUGACGGUAGUGGUAGAAGAAGCACCGGCUAACUACGUG